rnacentral:rRNA from 1 species
AUUGAACGCUGGCGGCAGGCCUAACACAUGCAAGUCGAACGAGUGGCGGACGGGUGAGUAAUGUCUGGGAAACUGCCUGAUGGAGGGGGAUAACUACUGGAAACGGUAGCUAAUACCGCAUACCAUCUGAUGUGCCCAGAUGGGAUUAGCUAGUAGGUGGGGUAAAGGCAAACCUAGGCGACGAUCCCUAGCUGGUCUGAGAGGAUGACCAGCCACACUGGAACUAAGACACGGUACAGACUCCGACGGGAGGCAGCAGUGGAGAAUAUUGCACAAUGGGAGCAAACCUGAUGCAGCCAUGCCGCGUGUAUGAAGAAGGCCUUCGGGUUGUGAAGUACUUUAAGCGGGGAGACGUUGCCCAAAGAAGAAGCACAGGCUAACUCCGUGCCAGAAGCCGCGGUAAUAC